rnacentral:tRNA from 1 species
GGAGAGGUGGCCGAGUGGUUGAAGGCGCACGCCUGGAACGCGUGUAGGUGCGAAAGUGCCUCCAGGGUUCGAAUCCCUGCCUCUCCG